AUGGGGCUGGGGAGGGAGGAGGCCGAUGAUGAGAGGCCUGGUUUGCCUUUGGUCUUGAACACAUUGAAUUCUCCGCCUCCCUUCACCUAUGAGCCCUUGGUUCCUUGUCCUUCCACAGUCCCGCAGAUCUGUCUUUUGCUUCAACAGUGUUUGGACAGAACAGAUCCCGGACUCUUUCUUCCAGCCUCCAACCGCUCUCCGAUUUCCUCUCCACUUGCAACCUCUGGGACCAUCUUCUCGGCCACCUCCUGCUUCUGGGGACCUGCUAACACCGUUUUUGUGGUUAGCUCCUUCUUGCCAACCAACCAUGGGCUCCCAGAUUCCACCAAGGUGGAGGCAGCCGUCAUCAGCCUGGUCCAUGUGUACCUGCAGGCCUCCUACACCUCCCUCUCUCUGGGCUAUUUGGACCGUGAUGAUGUGGCUCUGGAAGGCGUGAGCCACUUCUUCCGUGAAUCGGCCGAGGAGAAGCGCGAGGGCUAUGAGUGUCUCCUGAAGAUACAAAACCAGUGCCACGCUCUCUUCCAGGACAUCAAGAAGCCGGCUCAAGAUGAGGGGGGCAAAACCCUGGGCGCUGUGGAAGCCGCCAUGGCCCUGGAGAAAAAUCUGAACCAGGACCUUUUGGAUCUUCAUGCCCAGAGUUCUGCCCACAUGGACCCCCAUCUCUGUGGCUUCCUGGAGAGUCACUUCCUAGAUGACGAAGUGAAAAUCAUCAAGAAGAUGGGUGACCAUGUGACCGACCUCCACAGGCUGGCCAGCCCUGCAGGGUGGGCUGGGCGAGUAUCUCUUCGAAAGGCUCACUCUCAAGCAUGACUAAGAGCCUGCUGAGCCCAGCCCAGCGACUUCGAAGGGGUCCUUACAAAAUAACAGGGCUUCUGCCUAAGCCUCUCCCUCCAGCCACUAGACAGCU